rnacentral:rRNA from 1 species
UACGUAGGGGGCAAGCGUUGUCCGGAUUUAUUGGGCGUAAAGAGCGUGUAGGCGGCCAUGUAGGUCCGUUGUGAAAACUCGAGGCUCAACCUCGAGACGCCGAUGGAAACCAUGUGGCUAGAGUCCGGAAGAGGAGAGUGGAAUUCCUGGUGUGGCGGUGAAAUGCGCAGAUAUCAGGAAGAACACCCGUGGCUAAGGCGGCUCUCUAGUACGGUACUGACGCUGAGGUGCGAAAGCGUGGGGAGCGAACAGG